rnacentral:rRNA from 1 species
GCCCUAGAUAAUAUCUAAGGUGUAACCUGCCCAGUGAUCUUUAACUGAAACAAGAUAAAACCUUUGACAAUAAGAUUAAAAGGACGCGGUAACCUUGACCGUGAUAAUGUAGCAUAAUCACUCGCCAUUUAAUUGAUGGAUAGUAUGAAUGGUUGAACGAAUAUUCCACUGUCUUAGAAAGAAUUAAUAGAAAUUGAAAUAGUAGUUAAGAUGCUAUUUUAAACUGUAAGACGAAAAGACCCUAUAGAGCUUAACUAUAAUCUUUUUAUUUACUAAAAAAAAGUAUUUUUAAGAAUUAAAAAGAUUGGUAGUUUAGUUGGGGCGACUGCUUUCUAAAUUUAACGAAAGUAAGCAAUAUUAAUAUUUAAUUUAUUGUAUAGUUAAAAAACUUAACAAUUAUGAUUGUAGGCUAUAGUGACCCGUUUUUACUACGUAAAAAGAAAAACGAUCAAUUGAUAAAAGCUACCUUAGGGAUAACAGGAUAAUUUCAUUUUAGAGUUCCUAUCGAAAAUGAAGUUUGUCACCUCUAUGUUGAAUUAAGAUAUCCUGAUAAUGCAGAAGUUAUCAAAGGUAGGUCUGUUCGACCUUUAAAAUCUU